rnacentral:rRNA from 1 species
UACGUAGGGUGCAAGCGUUGUCCGGAAUUAUUGGGCGUAAAGAGCUCGUAGGCGGUCUGUCACGUCUGCUGUGAAAACUCGGGGCUUAACCCCGGGCCUGCAGUGGGUACGGGCAGACUAGAGUGCGGUAGGGGAGACUGGAAUUCAUGGUGUAGCAGUGAAAUGCGUAGAGAUCAUGAGGAAGACCAGUGGCGAAGGCGGGUCUCUGGACAGUUCCUGACACUGAGGCACGAAGGCCAGGGGAGCAAACGGG